rnacentral:sRNA from 1 species
UGACCCUUCGGGGUCACCUAGCCAACUGACGUUGUUUGUGAGCACUUCGUUCACUGAAACAAGACAGCCAACCGACUUAAUUUCCGGUUGGCUUUUUUUUU